rnacentral:rRNA from 1 species
GUGGGGAAUAUUGGACAAUGGGCGAAAGCCUGAUCCAGCCAUGCCGCGUGUGUGAAGAAGGUCUUCGGAUUGUAAAGCACUUUAAGUUGGGAGGAAGGGCAGUAAGUUAAUACCUUGCUGUUUUGACGUUACCGACAGAAUAAGCACCGGCUAACUUCGUGCCAGCAGCCGCGGUAAUACGAAGGGUGCAAGCGUUAAUCGGAAUUACUGGGCGUAAAGCGCGCGUAGGUGGUUUUGUAAGUUGGAGGUGAAAUCCCCGGGCUCAACCUGGGAACUGCCUCCAAAACUGCAUGACUAGAGUACGGUAGAGGGUAGUGGAAUUUCCUGUGUAGCGGUGAAAUGCGUAGAUAUAGGAAGGAACACCAGUGGCGAAGGCGACUACCUGGACUGAUACUGACGCUGAGGUGCGAAAGCGUGGGGAGCAAACAGGAUUAGAAACCCUUGUAGUCC